AGUGAACGCUGGCGGUAGGCCUAACACAUGCAAGUCGAACGGCAGCACAGUAAGAGCUCGCUCUUACGGGUGGCGAGUGGCGGACGGGUGAGGAAUACAUCGGAAUCUACUUUUUCGUGGGGGAUAACGUAGGGAAACUUACGCUAAUACCGCAUACGACCUACGGGUGAAAGCAGGGGAUCUUCGGACCUUGCGCGAUUGAAUGAGCCGAUGUCGGAUUAGCUAGUUGGCGGGGUAAAGGCCCACCAAGGCGACGAUCCGUAGCUGGUCUGAGAGGAUGAUCCGCUACACUGGAACUGAGACACGGUCCAGACUCCUACGGGAGGCAGCAGUGGGGAAUAUUGGACAAUGGGCGCAAGCCUGAUCCAGCCAUACCGCGUGGGUGAAGAAGGCCUUCGGGUUGUAAAGCCCUUUUGUUGGGAAAGAAAAGCAGCAGGUUAAUACCCCGCUGUUCUGACGGUACCCAAAGAAUAAGCACCGGCUAACUUCGUG
rnacentral:rRNA from 1 species